UCAAACUUGGUCAUUUAGAGGAAGUAAAAGUCGUAACAAGGUUUCCGUAGGUGAACCUGCGGAAGGAUCAUUAACAGAUUUUCAAUAAUCCAUAUUCAUCUUGUGUGCAAUUUUUAAUAAUGUCUUUCGGAAAGAUUAUUUUUUACAAUAAUCUUUCCAAAGAGGUUAUUAUAAUCAAUCUAUUUUUCUUUCUUUACCAUGUCUAAAACUACAUAUAUCUAAAAUAAAAAAAUAACUUUCAACAACAGAUCUCUUGGCUCUCGCAUCGAUGAAGAACGCAGC
rnacentral:misc_RNA from 1 species